rnacentral:rRNA from 1 species
UACGGGGGGUGCGAACGUUGUUCGGAAUUACUGGGCGUAAAGCGCGUGUAGGCUGUUCGGAAAGUCGGGUGUGAAAGCCCUGGGCUCAACCUAGGAAGUGCACUCGAAACUCCCGAACUGGAGUCCCGGAGAGGAAGGUGGAAUUCUCGGUGUAGAGGUGAAAUUCGUAGAUAUCGAGAGGAACAUCGGUGGCGAAGGCGGCCUUCUGGACGGUGACUGACGCUGAGACGCGAAAGCGUGGGGAGCAAACAGG